rnacentral:rRNA from 1 species
AACGAACGCUGGCGGCAGGCCUAACACAUGCAAGUCGAGCGAGGACUUCGGUCCUAGCGGCGGACGGGUGAGUAACGCGUGGGAACGUGCCCUUUGCUUCGGAAUAGCCCUGGGAAACUGGGAGUAAUACCGGAUGAGCCCUUUGGGGGAAAGUUUUAUCGGCGAAGGAUCGGCCCGCGUUGGAUUAGGUAGUUGGUGGGGUAAUGGCCUACCAAGCCGACGAUCCAUAGCUGGUUUGAGAGGAUGAUCAGCCACACUGGGACUGAGACACGGCCCAGACUCCUACGGGAGGCAGCAGUGGGGAAUCUUAGACAAUGGGGGAAACCCUGAUCUAGCCAUGCCGCGUGAGCGAUGAAGGCCUUAGGGUUGUAAAGCUCUUUCAGCUGGGAAGAUAAUGACGGUACCAGCAGAAGAAGCCCCGGCUAACUCCGUG